AGAAAAUCCCUUGAACCCAGGAGGCAGAGUUUGCAGUGAGCUGAGAUUGUGCCACUGCACUCCAGCCUGGGCAACAGAG
rnacentral:snRNA from 1 species